UACAGAGGUCUCAAGCGUUGUUCGGAUUCAUUGGGCGUAAAGGGUGCGUAGGUGGCGCUGUAAGUCAGGUGUGAAAUUUCGGAGCUUAACUCCGAAACUGCAUUUGAUACUGCGGUGCUCGAGGACUGGAGAGGAGACUGGAAUUUACGGUGUAGCAGUGAAAUGCGUAGAGAUCGUAAGGAAGACCAGUGGCGAAGGCGGGUCUCUGGACAGUACCUGACACUGAGGCACGAAGGCCAGGGGAGCAAACGGG
rnacentral:rRNA from 1 species